GUGUGCUCAAAAAAUCUCCUAGAAUCCAAGGAGAGAUAUAAUAGCACAUGGAUAGUUGAAUAUGAGCACUACACUGUAGUUUAGCAUCUUGAGAUGGACGCGUGUCAAAAUUUGGAUGCUUAGGAGUUAGGAUAUUGGUUUCGCAAAAUUUGAUCCAUCAUGACCCGUCAAUUCUCGGGUUCAACCAGCGAAGAAGGGGUAAGAUUCCGUACUGAUUUUUGUCGGAUGAUGGCAUGUUACCUUGAACAAUUUAUAGCUUU
rnacentral:misc_RNA from 1 species